CCGUGGACAAUGUGCUCCAUUCCUCACUCUGUAUAUUGUAUCCAAGUUUCUCCGAUGGCCACUAAAGUUACAGGAACUCCUUAAUUGCCACCUUAUCAGUCCAUCAUCCGUAUUCCAGGAUGAUUGACACAGAAAUCAGGGUGGGGGAGCCGGGAACCAAAUUUAAGAUCUGCAGCAGCAAAGGCAGCAACAGCCAAGCUGGCAGGAGAGACCAACUGAGUUUUGUCUGGCGCUGAGUUGAGUGGAUUCCAAAGAAGACAGAAAGCAGGAUUGUGGCCAGGCGCUAAGGAUCUGGAACAAAUGGGAGGAAAGUAAUUUCUCUAUAAGGAAUACUGACUCACAGCUAAGCCCUAGGAAGGAGGCAAUGGCAAACCAUUUCUGAAAACCUUGCUAAGAAAACUGCACAGACUUGUUCAGUCAGCUGCCAGGAGUAAAAAAGAAGAUUUGUAACCAUCAUGGCUCUGCCGUCCACUUUGCCUUACGACCGUGUAACGGUGAACAUGGAACGGGAAGAGGUUUCUCUGGAGCGCACCAAAUCCCAGCUGGAUCCCCGCCUCAUAAGCACUACCACCGGCAGCGUAGAAGACUCCUGCCACAGCUGCCUACUUCCUUUUGAGGUGCUGGCCAGUAUCAUUGGCCUAGUGACUACGAGUGUCGCUUGCUCAGGUAGUUUCUCUGACACCAUCCUGACUGUCAUAGGUGGAGUCCUGCUAGCUGUUGGGCUUCUUGGACUGACCGUAGGUUGCAUCUGGCAGCAGUACAGGAGGAAGAAGCGCUGUGGCAGCUGGACUGUCCUAAUGGAUGAAACAGAAGCAAAAAAACCAGUUAUCUGAAGAUCCAGAACCAAAUCCACCAGGAGACAAAAUCGCAUUUGGCCUCAUCGGGCAAAGCUCGUUUCGAACAAAUUGACUGAUUUCAGAAUUGGUCGCCCCACUUUCUCAUUUUCUUUUAGAUUAAACAAAAGCAACAAUAAAAUCAGGGGGAGAAAAGAAGAAGGAAUCAAAAGGCAUAUAAGAAAAAAAAAUGAGAGGAUAGAUAUGUUCAAAUGAAUGUAUUCAAAAUAAACAUAAAAGGAUUCUAGUAUCACGUGUCAAAGACUGAAAAGAUGAGAGGCCUUCCACUCUGGAGCCUACUUUAUAAAAACAACUUUUUAGCACAAAAUGAAAUACAGGUAAUCCUCGUUUAGUGACUGCCUCAUUUAGUGACUGCCUUGUUUAGUGACUGCAGUUAUGAUGGUGAUAAGAAAGUAAUUUUGCCAUCCUCUCAUUUACAGGCCUCUUUUGUAGGUCUAUAAAGCAAAGAAAAGUAGAUCAUAAGCAUAGUCAAAAUUUCACUUAGCAACUGCUUUGCUAAACACCCAAUUGUGCUUGCUAAAUGAGGACUAACUGUAUAAUAUGUACUCAGUUUUUCUUUUGCCAUUGUGUCAAAAAAGAAUUACAUAUUCGUGCAUAUUUUGUCAAGGUCCUUUUGGAGUAGUUUCUGUUUCAAGUCACAACAAAUAUGCGUUUAUGCAUCUUAUGCUCACAUGUGUAUGUAUACCAUUUUCAGUAACUUGUCCCUUCCUCUUUUUCCAUUGCAAUGAUGGAUAUCUCCUUUCCCAAAAAAGGGAAGAUAAUUGGAUAAACUUUUAGUCCUGAAUAAAAAAUGAAUGAUUCUUUGUGA